rnacentral:rRNA from 1 species
UACGUAGGUGGCAAGCGUUGUCCGGAAUUACUGAGCGUAAAGGGCGUGUAGGCGGCCUUUUAAGUCAGAUGUGAAAUCCCAAGGCUUAACAUUGGAACUGCAUUUGAAACUGGAAGGCUUGAGGAUCGGAGAGGGCAGUGGAAUUCCCAGUGUAGCGGUGAAAUGCGUAGAUAUUGGGAGGAACACCAGUGGCGAAGGCGACUGCCUGGACGACACCUGACGCUGAGGCGCGAAAGCUAGGGGAGCAGACGGGAUUAGAUACCCCGGUAGUCCUAGCCGUAAACGAUGGGUACUAGGUGUGGGAGGUAUCGACCCCUUCCGUGCCGCAGUUAACACAAUAAGUACCCCGCCUGGGGAGUACGGCCGCAAGGUUGAA